rnacentral:rRNA from 1 species
AGCGAACGCUGGCGGCAGGCCUAACACAUGCAAGUCGAGCGCCCAGCAAUGGGAGCGGCAGACGGGUGAGUAACGCGUGGGGAUCUGCCCAAUGGUACGGAAUAACCCAGGGAAACUUGGAUUAAUACCGUAUGUGCCCUUCGGGGGAACGAUUUAUCGCCAUUGGAUGAACCCGCGUCGGAUUAGCUAGUUGGUGAGGUAAAGGCUCACCAAGGCGACGAUCCGUAGCUGGUCUGAGAGGAUGAUCAGCCACACUGGGACUGAGACACGGCCCAGACUCCUACGGGAGGCAGCAGUGGGGAAUAUUGGACAAUGGGCGCAAGCCUGAUCCAGCCAUGCCGCGUGAGUGAUGAAGGCCUUAGGGUUGUAAAGCUCUUUCGCCGGUGAAGAUAAUGACGGUAACCGGAGAAGAAGCCCCGGCUAACUUCGUGCCAGCCGCCGCCGUAAUAC